ensembl:lncRNA
AUGCAAGAAAAACAGAAAGAUGAAAAGGAAAACAACAUGGAUAGAGUUUCAAGUGAAAAUUUAUAUAAUAGCAGUCCUAACCGUGAUUGUGGUAGUACUGGUGGUAAUAGUGUCGAUACUAUUGGUGGUACUAGCGAUGGUAAUAAUAAAAAGGUUCAUUACACAAGUAGUAAUUGUAGUAAUAGUAGUAAAACUAGCAGCCGUAUUAGUAUUAAACCAAUUGGUAAAAAUAAUAUGAAUAGUGGUAGCAGUUGUCAUAGUAACAUUAGUAAUAGAUACAGUUAUAGCUAUAGCGAUAAAAAUAGUAAUAAUACAAAAAAGAACAGUGAUAAAAGUUUAGAUCCAUAUAAAGAUUUUGUUAUAGAAAAUUAUAACUCCCUUGAACAUUAUACAAUAUUACUUGAUGAUAACUUUAACGAUUUUAUUCAAUCAAAAGUAAUAAAUUUAAAAUAUGAUGAUUAUAAAUAUUUAAUAGACGCAUUAAAUGUUGAUACUGAUUUUUUAGUUAAUCAAGAUAUUAUGGAUUAUUCAUUACUUAUACAUAUUGACAUUCACAAUAAUGUAAUUAUAUUUAAAAUUAUUGAUUAUUUACGACCAUACACUUGGGAUAAAUCGGUAGAAACUUUUGGUAAAAGUGUUUUUUAUUUAACAAAAGGAUAUAAACCUACUAUUAUUCAAUCAGAAUAUUAUAGAAAAAGGUUUUUAAAUAAUAUAAGAAAAUUCUUUUUUUUUUAUAUACCUAUAUAUUCUUUAAAAAAAAAAAAUGUUUUUAGCAUAACAGAAAAGACAAACCAACACGAAUUUUCAAUAGUUAAACUAAACAAAUACCACCCAUUUAAAAAAUAUUUUUCAUAUGCUCUUUUUAAUAUUAUUUUAAAAAAUUAUACCUAUUUUUAUGUAUAUAUGAAAUAUUUUAAUAGGCAUGGGGAGGUAAUGAACUCAGAUGCAACAAAUGUGAUUAUCAACAAAAACGAAACAAAUGCAUACGAUCAAAAAAAUCUUCUUAUUUUUUUUAACUGUUUUUUGAAAGAGUUAUAUAUGAAAAUUAUACAUGACCGAUACGGAGAAAACUAUUUAGAAAGUGAGCAUGAUUUGUUUAGUUUAGAUAACAUAAAUAAAAAGACUUGUUUUAAAUAUACAACAGAUUUGGGUGUGCGUAAACAUAGGGGUAUAAUAAUGGAUGAUAAGGGUGUCAGUAUUAAAGAUAGUGUGAGUAGUAGCCAAGGUAGUAGCAGUAGUAACUACAGUUCCAGUAGUAGAUACAGUAGUAGUGAUGAUGAUAAACCAUUUAAAGGCAUAAUAAAAGUUAAAAAUGAAAAGAACAAAAUGAAUAGUAACAAAAUGAAUAGUAACAGUAGUAUAUUAAAUAACAAAAUGUGUAACGAAGAAUAUUAUUGGCAUUAUGAAUUUAAACACAACCCGUUUUUUCUUUCUAAUGUGUCAAAUAAAUAUGUUAUGACAAACUUUGUUAAAACCGGUGACCAUAAAACAUGUGCUACUAAUGAUAUGUAUGAUAGUAGUCGUAACAGUGGUAGCAGUAUUAUAUGCAACAUAACUCCAGAAAUAGAAAAACAAAUGACACAUUUUUUGUAUAAUUUCCAUACAUAUAUAGUUAAUAAGUUGAAUAUAUUAAACUGUGCAUAUAAUAACAAUAGUAAAAGUAUUCCCAAAAAGGUCCCAAACUGUUUUAUAUCAUAUAAUACUUUAAAUCAGACAGAAUUUAAAAAAAUAAAAAAUAAAUUUUAUAAAAAAAUAUCACAUGUUCAAUUAAAAAUUAUUAAAAAAUUACAAAAAAAAAAAUAUCAUAUAGAAAACUUUACAAAUUAUAUUAAAAACAAUUUAUAUAUUGAAAUGAGUGACGUUAAUAUGCAUUAUACUAAUCUAAACUAUUUGGACUUACUAAACAUUUUUAAUAUAUGUGAAAACAAUGAUAAUAAUAAUAAUAAUAUUAAUAAAUGUAGUAAAAGUAGUAAACGUGGUAAAAGUGGUAAAAGUAGUAAAAGUGGUAAAAGUAGUAAAAGUAGUAAAAGUAAAAGAAGACAAAAAAAGCGAAAAAAAGAAGAGCACGUGAUUUUAUAUAUACCGUCAUAUUUUUUAUUUUGCUUAAAUAGAACAUAG